GAUGAAGAACGCAGCGAAAUGCGAUAAGUAAUGUGAAUUGCAGAAUUCAGUGAAUCAUCGAAUCUUUGAACGCACAUUGCGCCCCCUGGUAUUCCGGGGGGCAUGCCUGUUCGAGCGUCAUUUCACCACUCAAGCCUCGCUUGGUAUUGGGCAACGCGGUCCGCCGCGUGCCUCAAAUCGUCCGGCUGGGUCUUCUGUCCCCUAAGCGUUGUGGAAACUAUUCGCUAAAGGGUGUUCGGGAGGCUACGCCGUAAAACAACCCCAUUUCUGAGGUUGACCUCGGAUCAGGUAGGGAUACCCGCUGAACUUAAGCAUAUCAAUAAGCGGAGGA
rnacentral:misc_RNA from 1 species